UACGUAGGGGGCAAGCGUUGCUCGGAAUCACUGGGCGUAAAGGGCGCGUAGGCGGGAUGGCAAGUCGGUCGUGAAAUCUCUCGGCUCAACCGAGAAACGUCGGCCGAUACUGCCGUUCUUGAGGGAUGCAGAGGAGACUGGAAUUCCCGGUGUAGCGGUGAAAUUCGUAGAUAUUGGGAAGAACACCGGUGGCGAAGGCGGCGACCUGGUCCUUGACUGACGCUGAGGCGCGAAAGCGUGGGGAGCAAACAGG
rnacentral:rRNA from 1 species